rnacentral:lncRNA from 1 species
AUUUUUCAUAUUCACUCAUUCAAAACAUAAAAAGUUAGUUCCACUUAUUAGCGGUAUUAUUGAGUUUAAAAAAGUUGGAUGAUAAAAAAGAAAGGUAUUAUUGAAAAGGGUAAAUGAGAGGUGGGUUGAGGAGGUCCGGAUAGUCUUUACUCUCCAUUUUGACAAUGAUAUAUCCAUGCGAUAUACCCAUACAUACGGAGAUAUAAGAUGAGAGAUAUAAGAAGAAGAAGAAGAAGAGUUGGUUUUUUAGUCAUCUCACGAGAAGAGAAGAGAAGAGAAGAGAGAAGAGCUGGUUUUGUCUUAUCAAAGUCGUAAUAAAAGUAGUAAUAAUAAUAAUAAUUAAAAAAGGAAAAAGAACGGUUGGCACGUUUAAUUUCCCUCU